rnacentral:rRNA from 1 species
UUCGAACGCACAGCGAAAGGUGCUUGCACCUUUCAAGUGAGUGGCGAACGGGUGAGUAACACGUGGACAACCUGCCUCAAGGCUGGGGAUAACAUUUGGAAACAGAUGCUAAUACCGAAUAAAACUUAGUGUCGCAUGACACAAAGUUAAAAGGCGCUUCGGCGUCACCUAGAGAUGGAUCCGCGGUGCAUUAGUUAGUUGGUGGGGUAAAGGCCUACCAAGACAAUGAUGCAUAGCCGAGUUGAGAGACUGAUCGGCCACAUUGGGACUGAGACACGGCCCAAACUCCUACGGGAGGCUGCAGUAGGGAAUCUUCCACAAUGGGCGAAAGCCUGAUGGAGCAACGCCGCGUGUGUGAUGAAGGCUUUCGGGUCGUAAAGCACUGUUGUAUGGGAAGAACAGCUAGAAUAGGAAAUGAUUUUAGUUUGACGGUACCAUACCAGAAAGGGACGGCUAAAUACGUGCCAGCAGCCGCGGUAAUACGUAUGUCCCGAGCGUUAUCCGGAUUUAUUGGGCGUAAAGCGAGCGCAGACGGUUUAUUAAGUCUGAUGUGAAAGCCCGGAGCUCAACUCCGGAAUGGCAUUGGAAACUGGUUAACUUGAGUGCAGUAGAGGUAGUGGAACUCCAUGUGUAGCGGUGGAAUGCGUAAAUAUAUGGAAGAACRCCAGUGGCGAAGGCGGCUUACUGGACUGCACUGACGUUAAGCUC